rnacentral:rRNA from 1 species
CCAUGCCGCGUGCAGGAAGACAGCCCUCUGGGUCGUAAACUGCUUUAUUCGGGAAUAAACCUUUCUACGUGUAGGAAGCUGAAUGUACCGAAGGAAUAAGGAUCGGCUAACUCCGUGCCAGCAGCCGCGGUAAUACGGAGGAUCCAAGCGUUAUCCGGAUUUAUUGGGUUUAAAGGGUGCGUAGGCGGCUUAUUAAGUCAGGGGGUGAAAGACGGUGGCUCAACCAUCGCAGUGCCCUUGAUACUGAUGAGCUUGAAUACACUAGAGGUAGGCGGAAUGUGACAAGUAGCGGUGAAAUGCAUAGAUAUGUCACAGAACACCGAUUGCGAAGGCAGCUUACUAUGGUGUUAUUGACGCUGACGGCACGAAAGCGUGGGGAUCCAAACAGGAUUAGAUACCCUGGUAG